UGGGGGAAUUUUGGACAAUGGGCGAAAGCCUGAUCCAGCAAUGCCGCGUGUGUGAAGAAGGCCUUCGGGUUGUAAAGCACUUUUGUCCGGAAAGAAAUCCUUGGCUCUAAUACAGUCGGGGGAUGACGGUACCGGAAGAAUAAGCACCGGCUAACUACGUGCCAGCAGCCGCGGUAAUACGUAGGGUGCAAGCGUUAAUCGGAAUUACUGGGCGUAAAGCGUGCGCAGGCGGUUUGCUAAGACCGAUGUGAAAUCCCCGGGCUCAACCUGGGAACUGCAUUGGUGACUGGCAGGCUAGAGUAUGGCAGAGGGGGGUAGAAUUCCACGUGUAGCAGUGAAAUGCGUAGAGAUGUGGAGGAAUACCGAUAGCGAAGGCAGCCCCCUGGGCCAAUACUGACGCUCAUGCACGAAAGCGUGGGGAGCAAACAGGAUUAGAUACCCUGAUAGUCCACGCCCUAAACGAUGUCAACUAGUUGUUGGGGAUUCAUUUCCUUAGUAACGUAGCUAACGCGUGAAGUUGACCGCCUGGGGAGUACGGUCGCAAGGUUAAAACUCAAAGGAAUUGACGGGG
rnacentral:rRNA from 1 species